GUCUUUUAAUUGAAGUCUAGAAUGAAUGGUUUGAUGAAAAAUAAACUUUCUUUAUUUUAUAGGUGGAACUUAAUUUUUUGGUCAAAAAGCUGAAAUUUUUUUAUAGGACGAGAAGACCCUAUAGAACUUUAUUUUAAAUUUAUAUAUUUUAUUUGGUAUAUAUAUGGGAUAUAUAUUAUUUGAAUUUUGUUGGGGUGACAGAAAAAAUAUAAUAACUUUUUCUAUUUUUUUCAUAAUCAAUGAAUUAUUGAUCCUUUUUUAGGGAUAUAAGAUUAAGUUACCUUAGGGAUAACAGCGUUAUUGUUUCAGAGAGUUCAUAUCGAUGAAAUAGUUUGCGACCUCGAUGUUGGAUUAUAAUAAGAUAUGGGAGUAGAAUAUCAUAUUCUGGGUCUGUUCGACCUUUAAAUUUUUACA
rnacentral:rRNA from 1 species